UUCUUCCAGAAGUCGACGAACACCAGCAAGAGUUAUUGACCUGGGAUAGAACAUUCACUUGAAACUUUUAAAGCACAUAGAAAAGAACAAGAGGAAAAUGAAGGGGCAGGAUAGAACAUUCACUUGAAACUGUUAAAGCACAUAGAAAAGAACAAGAGGAAAAUGAAGGGCCAAUUUUACAUACAUAAAUAAAUAAAACCUUUGAUGUGAAAGAUAAAUACAUAAAUAAAACCUUUGAGAGAAGAGGUAAUGUUGAAAUUGAUCAAACUAUUAAACAAGUGUCCAGGUGUAUAACUAGUGAAUACACUUAAUGUCCUAAAACUAUUAUCACCCAUGUACUGCCAUCCCAUUUAUAACCCAUUAGGUUGAAUGCACAAAUUUUACCAGUGAUUAACUCAUUUUGCCACAUUGUCAAGUAUAUAACACCACAAUUACUCAUGAAGACUUCUUUUUGGGUUUUCUUAAUCACGGCUUGUGUAGGUGCGCGCCUCGACAAAUAUACCGGGUAACUUGCUACAGUUCACAAGCAGAGGUGUCAGGUAAAUAUGCUCACAAAGGUUAGAUUAGAUGGCCCACACUGAGUCUUGCAGGUGGAAUUCGAACUUGGAAUCUUUAUAUUGUUGCUCCUAAGCAUCAACCUCUCAGCGAUCCCUUGGGUACUACUUGUGAAGAGAUUCUUAUGGAUCUCAACAACACUAGGUUACCCAAAGAAAGAAAAGAAAAGCGUAAGAAAGAGAGGGAACAAGAAAUUUU
rnacentral:lncRNA from 1 species